rnacentral:lncRNA from 1 species
CCAGGUUUGUUGACUCAUUCUCCAUGGAAGAGGGUGUCUUUCCUAGCAGCACUGCAAGGUCGAUUCUCUGUCCGGCUGUGAUUGUCACGUUCUCUGUAGGCAGAGGCACUGAAGACACGUUGGAUGCAGUGAAGAUCUUUGUCUCAGACAGAUCUUCAUUCCAGUCCUCCGUGCCCCACUCCUCCGUUGCAGCCCUCCAUGCACUUGUGCCAUCGUCC